GAGUUUGAUCCUGGCUCAGGACGAACGGUGGCGGCGCGCUUAACACAUGCAAGUCGAGCGAGAACCGGACCUUCGGGUCCGGGGACAGCGGCGAACGGGUGAGUAACACGUGGGUAAUUUGCCCUCGAUUCUGGGAUAGCCCGGGGAAACCCGGAUUAAUACCGGAUAGCCUUUCGAGCUCUCGGGCUUGAAAGGAAAGGUAGCUUCGGCCUCCGAUCGAGGAGAAGCCCGCGGCGGAUUAGCUUGUUGGCGGGGUAAUGGCCCACCAAGGCGACGAUCCGUAGCUGGUCUGAGAGGACGAUCAGCCACACUGGGACUGAGACACGGCCCAGACUCCUACGGGAGGCAGCAGUGGGGAAUCUUGCGCAAUGGGCGAGAGCCUGACGCAGCGACGCCGCGUGAGGGAAGAAGGCCUUCGGGUUGUAAACCUCUUUCAGCAGGGACGAAGCCACUCAGGUUAAUAGCCGAGAGGGUGACGGUACCUGCAGAAGAAGCCCCGGCUAACUACGUGCCAGCAGCCGCGGUAAUACGUAGGGGGCAAGCGUUGUCCGGAUUUAUCGGGCGUAAAGAGCGUGUAGGCGGUUAGAUAGGUCUGCUGUGAAAACUCCAGGCUCAACCUGGAGACGUCGGUGGAAACCAUCUGGCUAGAGUCCGGAAGAGGAGAGUGGAAUUCCUGGUGUAGCGGUGAA
rnacentral:rRNA from 1 species